UACGAAGGGGGCUAGCGUUGCUCGGAAUCACUGGGCGUAAAGGGUGCGUAGGCGGGUCUUUAAGUCAGGGGUGAAAUCCUGGAGCUCAACUCCAGAACUGCCUCUGAUACUGAGGAUCUUGAGUUCGGGAGAGGUGAGUGGAACUGCGAGUGUAGAGGUGAAAUUCGUAGAUAUUCGCAAGAACACCAGUGGCGAAGGCGGCUCACUGGCCCGAUACUGACGCUG
rnacentral:rRNA from 1 species